rnacentral:rRNA from 1 species
UUUACAAGCCCCUGAAACGGGGUCUAAUACCGGAUAAUACUCCGGCCUGCAUGGGUGGGGGUUGAAAGCUCCGGCGGUGAAGGAUGAGCCCGCGGCCUAUCAGCUUGUUGGUGGGGUAAUGGCCUACCAAGGCGACGACGGGUAGCCGGCCUGAGAGGGCGACCGGCCACACUGGGACUGAGACACGGCCCAGACUCCUACGGGAGGCAGCAGUGGGGAAUAUUGCACAAUGGGCGAAAGCCUGAUGCAGCGACGCCGCGUGAGGGAUGACGGCCUUCGGGUUGUAAACCUCUUUCAGCAGGGAAGAAGCGCAAGUGACGGUACCUGCAGAAGAAGCGCCGGCUAACUACGUGCCAGCAGCCGCGGUAAUACGUAGGGCGCAAGCGUUGUCCGGAAUUAUUGGGCGUAAAGAGCUCGUAGGCGGCUUGUCACGUCGGAUGUGAAAGCCCGGGGCUUAACCCCGGGUCUGCAUUCGAUACGGGCUAGCUAGAGUGUGGUAGGGGAGAUCGGAUUUCCUGGUGAAA